rnacentral:rRNA from 1 species
CAGCAGCAGCCGCGGUAAUACGAAGGGGGCUAGCGUUGCUCGGAAUUACUGGGCGUAAAGCGUGUGUAGGUGGUUGUUUAAGUCUGUCGUGAAAGCCCUGGGCUCAACCUGGGAAUUGCGAUGGAUACUGGGCGACUAGAGUGCGGUAGAGGAUAGUGGAAUUUCCGGUGUAGCAGUGAAAUGCGUGGAUAUCGAGAGGAACACUCGUGGCGAAGGCGAGCUACUGGACAACAUCUGACGCUGAGGCUCGAAGGCUAGGGUAGCAAAAGGGAUUAGAUACCCCAGUAGUCCCUGUCUCUUAUAC